UACGGGGGGGGUAAGCGUUGUUCGGAAUUACUGGGCGUAAAGCGUGCGCAGGCGGUUUUGUAAGCCAGAUGUGAAAUCCCCGGGCUCAACCUGGGAAUGGCAUUUGGGACUGCAAGGCUUGAGUGCGGCAGAGGAGACUGGAAUUCCUGGUGUAGCAGUGAAAUGCGUAGAUAUCAGGAGGAAUACCGAUGGCGAAGGCAGGUCUCUGGGCUGACACUGACGCUCAUGCACGAAAGCGUGGGGAGCAAGACGG
rnacentral:rRNA from 1 species